UACGUAGGGGGCGAGCGUUGUCCGGAUUUAUUGGGCGUAAAGAGCGUGUAGGCGGCUCGAUAAGUCCGCUGUGAAAGUCCAGGGCUCAACCCUGGAAGGCCGGUGGAAACUGUCGGGCUAGAGCCCGGAAGAGGCGAGUGGAAUUCCCGGUGUAGCGGUGAAAUGCGCAGAUAUCGGGAGGAACACCAAUGGCGAAGGCGGGUCUCUGGACAGUUCCUGACGCUGAGGCACGAAGGUCAGGGGAGCAAACGGG
rnacentral:rRNA from 1 species